rnacentral:rRNA from 1 species
GCUCCCUGAAGUCAGCGGCGGACGGGUGAGUAACACGUGGGCAACCUGCCUGUAAGACUGGGAUAACUUCGGGAAACCGGAGCUAAUACCGGAUAAUGCACAGCCUCUCAUGAGGCUAUGCUGAAAGAUGGUUUCGGCUAUCACUUACAGAUGGGCCCGCGGCGCAUUAGCUAGUUGGUGAGGUAACGGCUCACCAAGGCAACGAUGCGUAGCCGACCUGAGAGGGUGAUCGGCCACACUGGGACUGAGACACGGCCCAGACUCCUACGGGAGGCAGCAGUAGGGAAUCUUCCGCAAUGGACGAAAGUCUGACGGAGCAACGCCGCGUGAGUGAUGAAGGUUUUCGGAUCGUAAAACUCUGUUGUCAGGGAAGAACAAGUGCCGGAGUAACUGCCGGCACCUUGACGGUACCUGACCAGAAAGCCACGGCUAACUACGUGCCAGCAGCCGCGGUAAUACGUAGGUGGCAAGCGUUGUCCGGAAUUAUUGGGCGUAAAGCGCGCGCAGGCGG